rnacentral:rRNA from 1 species
GUGGGGAAUAUUGGACAAUGGGGGGAACCCUGAUCCAGCCAUGCCGCGUGUGUGAAGAAGGCCUUUUGGUUGUAAAGCACUUUAAGCGAGGAGGAGGCUACCGAGAUUAAUACUCUUGGAUAGUGGACGUUACUCGCAGAAUAAGCACCGGCUAACUCUGUGCCAGCAGCCGCGGUAAUACAGAGGGUGCAAGCGUUAAUCGGAUUUACUGGGCGUAAAGCGCGCGUAGGUGGCCAAUUAAGUCAAAUGUGAAAUCCCCGAGCUUAACUUGGGAAGUGCAUUCGAUACUGGUUGGCUAGAGUAUGGGAGAGGAUGGUAGAAUUCCAGGUGUAGCGGUGAAAUGCGUAGAGAUCUGGAGGAAUACCGAUGGCGAAGGCAGCCAUCUGGCCUAAUACUGACACUGAGGUGCGAAAGCAUGGGGAGCAAACAGGAUUAGAAACCCGUGUAGUCC